GACGAACGCUGGCGGCGUGCUUAACACAUGCAAGUCGAACGGUAAGGCCCUUCGGGGUACACGAGUGGCGAACGGGUGAGUAACACGUGGGUGAUCUGCCCUGCACUUCGGAUAAGCCUGGGAAACUGGGUCUAAUACCGGAUAGGACCACUGCCUGCAUGGGUGGUGGUGGAAAGCUUUUGCGGUGUGGGAUGGGCCCGCGGCCUAUCAGCUUGUUGGUGGGGUGAUGGCCUACCAAGGCGACGACGGGUAGCCGGCCUGAGAGGGUGACCGGCCACACUGGGACUGAGAUACGGCCCAGACUCCUACGGGAGGCAGCAGUGGGGAAUAUUGCACAAUGGGCGCAAGCCUGAUGCAGCGACGCCGCGUGAGGGAUGACGGCCUUCGGGUUGUAAACCUCUUUCAGCACCGACGAAGCGCAAGUGACGGUAGGUGCAGAAGAAGGACCGGCCAACUACGUGCCAGCAGCCGCGGUAA
rnacentral:rRNA from 1 species